AAUUAGGAGGAAAAAUUUGUAUUGAUUGCAACCUCAGUAAAAAAUGCUAAAACCGAUUUU
rfam:Chryseobacterium solincola strain DSM 22468 contig02, whole genome shotgun sequence.